rnacentral:tRNA from 1 species
CAGGGAGACAACAAAAUGUUUAAUAUUAUUAUUUUGUCACCUUAGGUCGAUCGGUACCUCACGUUCUUAAUUUAUUAAGAAUUUCAUUUCCUAAGUUUUUCUAGGUCACACCCAUUAUUUUUCCUGGGCCAUUAGCUCAGGUGGUUAGAGCGCACCCCUGAUAAGGGUGAGGUCCCUGGUUCAAGUCCAGGAUGGCCCAUAUCUCUAUGUUGGGGGUAUAGCUCAGUUGGUAGAGCGCCUGCUUUGCAAGCAGGAUGUCAGCGGUUCGAGUCCGCUUACCUCCACUGAUUACCACCUCUUCCAUAAUUUGUAGAAAGGAAAUUUUUUGAGUUGUGAUCAAAUUCUGAACGAAUCUAGCUUCCUAAUGAAAUCAUUAAGAUGCUGGACUCAUUGAAUUAAUUUCAUUGUUUUCAGAGAACCUUGACAACUGCAUAGAUUAUUUUAAAGACAAUAAGCAUCUUUAAUGAUGCAGAUUUAUUAUUUGUGCGAAUGCAUUAAUAACAAUUCUAUUAAGCUGAUGCUUCAAUUUUGAAGUUAUU